UACAGAGGUCUCAAGCGUUGUUCGGAUUCAUUGGGCGUAAAGGGCGCGUAGGCGGCCGUUUGCGUCGGAUGUGAAAGCCCGGGGCUCAACCUCGGAACGGCAUUCGAUACGGGACGGCUAGAGACCGGGAGAGGAGAGUGGAAUAGCCAGUGUAGAGGUGAAAUUCGUAGAUAUUGGCUGGAACACCGGUGGCGAAAGCGGCUCUCUGGCCCGGUUCUGACGCUGAGGCGCGAAAGCGUGGGGAGCAAACAGG
rnacentral:rRNA from 1 species